rnacentral:rRNA from 1 species
AAAACUAGGUAUAGGAGGUCCAGCCUCCCCAGUGACUACAAGUUCAACGGCCGCGGUAUUUUGACCGUGCAAAGGUAGCGCAAUCACUUGUCUUUUAAAUAGAGACCUGUAUGAAUGGCCAAACGAGGGCUUAACUGUCUCCCCUUUCCAGUCAGUGAAAUUGAUCUGCCCGUGCAGAAGCGGACAUAAUAAUACAAGACGAGAAGACCCUUUGGAGCUUAAGGUACAAAACUCAACCACGUCAAGCAACUCAAUAAAAAGCAAAAACUUUGUGGAAUAUGAGACUUUACCUUCGGUUGGGGCGACCACGGAGGAAAACAAAGCCUCCAAGUGGAUUGGGAAAACCUCCUAAAACCAAGAGAGACAUCUCUAAGCCACAGAACAUCUGACCAAACAUGAUCCGGCCACCUAAAGCCGAUCAACGAACCAAGUUACCCUAGGGAUAACAGCGCAAUCCUCUCCCAGAGUCCAAUCGACGAGAGGGUUUACGACCUCGAUGUUGGAUCAGGACAUCCUAAUGGUGCAGCCG